rnacentral:lncRNA from 1 species
CAGACAGUAUGGACUUCUCAAGCAUGACACUGACCCAGAUCAAGCGCCAGGAAAUGGAUUCCCAGGUUAGGGUGCUGGAGCUAGAAAACGACCUGCAGAAGGAGCGCCAGAAACUAGGAGAGCUUCGGAAAAAACACUACGAGCUGGCUGGUGUUGCUGAGGGCUGGGAAGAAGGGACAGAAGCAUCACCUUCUGCUGUUCAAGAAGCGGUGCCGGACAAAGAGUAGAGCCAAGCCAGCGCCCCACACAUCAGAAUCCCUUUGCAUUUUGUCCUUUCCACAAACUUGUGAGCAUCCGAACUCCGCUGGACCCCAAACCAGACGGCCGGUCUGAAUCCACUGUUGGGAGGGGCACGAAGGAAGGCCGGCCUCCACGCCACGCUUUUGACAGCUCCAUGGGUCCCCCUUACCCCGAACGAUGGCUCGUUUGGGUCUUUUGGUUUCCUGUUUUUAAAGUUUCACACAGCCAACUUUCCCAAAAAAAAGAAAAAAAAAAAAGGGUUCCACCCCCCACCCCAGCCCUACCCUGAGCUCUGA